CAAAACAUUAUCAUGAAUCGGUUUGAACUUGUGAGCCAUCCAUUUUUUUUUUAAUUUAAGACAUCACAGAUCACAGUGCUCAUCUUUCCAAUGGUGGACAUACAUACCAACACACACGAGGCCUUCAGAUCUACACCCUUAAGCAUAAUGUAAACUAUUCACCCUCCUCCUAGGACCAUUGUUCUCCACACAUUUACAUUCAACUACAAACGGGCCAAGCUACAGUGGCUUUUCAUAUUGCAUAUUUAAGACUCUCUGCUCUCUGUAGCCCCACCUCUGGGACAUUGUUUAGCUAGCCUAAAGUGCUGUCACCAAGACCCAGAAAUAAAGACUACACUACUGCUACCACAGGAAGUAUGGCCUGCGACACAUCAUCAUGGAUGGGAGACUCGGACACAGUUUAAAUAAACACUGGUCGAGUGAGUUUUUGCAUUUAACUUUAAUGCCAAAUGUUAUUUUCCUCUACUUGGUUUUUAUUCCAAACCAAAUAAGUAUUUUGUUAACCUAUGAUCAUUGCCUUCCUGGUUCGGUUUUGAAUAUGAUGACGUAAGGGGAAAGAUGCCAGAAUACCUUUGCAACAGAUAUUAUGCACUGGUUCAGGAUAUUGUUUAGGUUUUGUUGUCGUAACUUUAGAUUGAUUCAGUUCUUUCCAUUGACUUCCCAGUGUGUGGAUAAAGUGCUUCCAUUUCUUUUUGUGGUAAUAUGAUGCUAUUCAAUUAACAAUAUUAUAUAUUUUGAUAUGAAACGUUUUCUCUGCUUCUUCAUCCCUGUUCUUUCUUCUUCUUCUUGAAAAGUGUGAUCCAUUACUUCAACAGGUCAUAGAUUUUCCGAAUGUGUUAAUGAUAGUUUGAGGUAGUUUGAUGUUUGAGGCUUGAUGGACUUGCACAAGAGAUUAUAACAAUAUUUUACAUUUCGGUCAAUUAUUUCUUAAAUUCUUAUUAUCUUCCAGUAAUUCAUAUUUACCUUCCAGUUGAGGCUGUAUUUGUCAAAAGAUGUGUGUGUGUUUUUAACAGACACAGUCCAUGUGGGUAAAUUGAUUUGAAGGUCUAUGUUUUUGCAUUAGUGUUAUUUCAUCACAGAAAAUUAACUUUUCUACAUGGGGUAUACUUAUGUAAUUUAUAAUGUUAUGCUUUACCCAAAACUAUGCAUUUAUAAAAGUUCAUUGUUAGAAUAGGGUUAAAACAUAAAGGGCCUUUUAAAAUAUCAGCACAGUAAUCAAUAUGUUUUGAAAGUGCUGAAUGAUUUGUUGAUAGAUACAGUAUUUAUUUGUUGGCUGUAAUACUUCAGUACAGAAUUUGACCAUGAAUCUUUCUUCAGUUUUGACUUCCUCAGACAAAACUAUCCAUUAAAUAAGAUGCUAUCCAAUGUUGAAUAUGCAACAAACUAGGAACUAGUCAUAUCAUGUACCUCCACUCAACCAUCAUGAUAUUCACUCAUCCAUUCAAUAGUUAUGGAUUGAACUCUAUGCCCUGACCAUGUGAAGGAUCACUGCACUUGGGACAAUGCUAUAUAGAUUUAUUGUAACCAAAUGCUUAUUAAGGUGCAUUAUUACUAGCGCCCUGUCCAGGGUGUGUACUUGUACAUCAAGCUGCCUCAUGCUACAGAAACAGGAGAUAGGCUCCAGGGUUGGGGUCAAUUCCAAUUUAAAUUGAAUUUUAAUUCAAUUCAGAAUCGAGCUGGAAUUAGAAUUGAAUACAUGGGAAAUGAAUAGGCAGAAAGAAUUGAAUUGGAAUUGAAUUUCUGGAAUUUACCCUGACCCUGAUAGGCUCCUGCCCUACGGGACAAGGGGCAGGGGCUCGGACAAGGCUUACUUUGUUUAUUAUGUUAUUCAAGAUGGAAAUGACACUUAAUGCUCUGAAUAGACAACUUCAACAAGGUCUAAUGUAUUCUAGAACACUGACACAUUCUACAACAAGAAUUGUAUGUUUAACUUAAUUGCUCAGCAGAUCAAUGUUCAAAGUAUGGAAGUGGUAGGAAUGUUCACUGAUGGAGAAACCCUCCAUUGAACAGAUAGGACUUCCUCCCCUUCAUAUCAACCUGACCUAUCAUAAUGCCAAAUAUUAUUGACAAUGAAGGAAGUUCAUAUAAUAUUUGGCAUAUAGGACAGUGCAAUAUGAACAUUUUAAAAGUAUGAAAUUCAACUAGCAUGUUAUGAUUUGUUAGUAAUUGCUGAUAACAACAGCUGUUUGAUUCUGUUUAUUGUCUUUUGAAUAUAUCAGAUGCCCUGGUUGUGGUGAUGCACUCACCACCCAGUGAUAGAGAUGGACACAAAUAACCAGUCAUGAACUGAACUGUACACAAAAAUAGAAACAUUUCUAUUUAUGUCUUUUUAUUCAUUUUUAGCACACAAGUUGGAAUGGCCUUAAUUUAGUUUUACUUGCUUAAAUAUUGUGUAUUGGCACAAAGUGCACAUCUUGAUUUGCUAAUUACAGUUAUGAUAAUAAUCCAAGAGUGCACUUCAGAAGAAGGAAAAAAGUUCAGCAAAUCCUUUUUUUUUAUUUGAUUAAAAUGUGAAAACACUGAAUAUUUUGCAUGAAUAUAAACACAAUGGCAGAUAUUUUUGGCUUGUACAAAAAUGUUAGCAAUUUGAAAGAAAAAAAAAGGAAUGUACAAUUUCUGCUGUAACUGUAUAUAACUAAAUAUUUAUUGAAAUAUGUCAUUAUAAGUAAUUCUAAUUACAAUUAAAGGUUUUCUGAACAAAAAUCUCUUUGACCUUUUUUUUUAAAGAAUUGUCAAGAGUUGGACUA
ensembl:lncRNA